UUUUUUUUAAAUUAUUACAGAGAGUGAUUUGGUGUACCCUGUUUCUUCUAUCUCUCUUGGCAAUGGUCGCGACCAGACCUCAAGAAUCAGAGUACGAUGAUGGAGACGAAAUAGCUGAUGACAGAAAAGAUGAGGUAGGCCGCGUACAAAUUAAGGUUUACCGAGGACCAACAAAGCACGAUGGAUACGCUCCAUGGGGCUUUUGGGUGAAACAGCCAUCUGACGAGGAAUAGAGAAUAUGCUAUAUUUUUCUGGUAGGCGCUAUCGCGCUA